rnacentral:rRNA from 1 species
AGUGAACGCUGGCGGCAGGCCUAACACAUGCAAGUCGAGCGGCAGCGCGUCCGACCACCCUCGGGUGGUCGGAUGGCGGCGAGCGGCGGACGGGUGAGGAAUGCAUCGGAAUCUGCCUCGUUGUGGGGGAUAACGUAGGGAAACUUACGCUAAUACCGCAUACGACCUACGGGUGAAAGUGGGGGACCUUCGGGCCUCACGCGAUGAGAUGAGCCGAUGCCGGAUUAGCUAGUUGGCGGGGUAAAGGCCCACCAAGGCGACGAUCGAUAGCUGGUCUGAGAGGAUGAUCAGCCACACUGGAACUGAGACACGGUCCAGACUCCUACGGGAGGCAGCAGUAGGGAAUAUUGGACAAUGGGGGCAACCCUGAUCCAGCCAUGCCGCGUGAGUGAAGAAGGCCCUCGGGUUGUAAAGCUCUUUUGUCCGGAAAGAAAAGCAAUCGGUUAAUACCCGGUUGUCCUGACGGUACCGGAAGAAUAAGCACCGGCUAACUUCGUGCCAGC